CUCCCAGGUUUCUAGCAGGCCAAGGGCAGGGCCUGGUCUAGAAUAGAAAGUUGACAGACAACAGAACACCGUGCCUGAGCAGGACUGAGAGAAUGGAAAAACUGAUCCACAGGAGGUCCACCCUGCCAACUCAGCGGCAGUUGGAGGAAGUGCUUUCAAAAUAUAAUGUGUGGAGGCUGGCAGACCAGCACGGGAAGACCUGCCAAAGCUUGCAAGUUCCCUAUCGGAGACGGGGUAGAUUCCACAUGGCUAAAUCAUAGCUUUUCAAAAGAUCACAGUCGUUUCUCUUUUCCUCUGAUGAAUGACCAGAUGAGCAGAGAUGGCAAACAUCUUAUGAGGCGCUGUCUACAAGGUGGAUUAUCCCGGGGAGCUUCACGGUCUCUAGAUGUAAACAUGGAUAUGUAAGGUUACGGAGCCACUGCAUCUGAGAACGAAAGGACCGUCACUUCAAUUGCAAAGACCAGGAUUCUUUCUUCUCAGUUUGAAUCCUUUCUUCCUACUCUUCUGAACGAGAGGUCCUGACAUCAGAAUACUUUUCCUGGAACAAAACCGAAGGAUGCCUGGCUGUGCCUGGCCACAGUGUGUUUCUCCAUGGGGUAUGAAAAUCUGGAAAACUGCAGGAAUUCUGCUCCCCCCAUACCUGUAAUAAACCUAAGGAAUCUGUUUUGUGCCUCCA
rnacentral:lncRNA from 1 species